rnacentral:rRNA from 1 species
CAGCCGCCGCGGGAAUACGUAGGUGGCAAGCGUUGUCCGGAAUUAUUGGGCGUAAAGGGCUCGCAGGCGGUUUCUUAAGUCUGAUGUGAAAGCCCCCGGCUCAACCGGGGAGGGUCAUUGGAAACUGGGAAACUUGAGUGCAGAAGAGGAGAGUGGAAUUCCACGUGUAGCGGUGAAAUGCGUAGAGAUGUGGAGGAACACCAGUGGCGAAGGCGACUCUCUGGUCUGUAACUGACGCUGAGGAGCGAAAGCGUGGGGAGCGAACAGGAUUAGAUACCCGCGUAGUCCCUGUCUCUUAUAA